rnacentral:SRP_RNA from 1 species
CCGUGCUAGGCGGGGAGAUAGCGGUGCCCUGAACCUGCAAUCCGCUAGAGCAGGGUCGAAUGCCCGCCUGCGGCUUUACCCUAAUGGGGUCUGGCCCCCGUUUGUGUAGUGCUGAAGAUUGGGUCCUGCGCGGCGGAAGCCUAUGAACCCCGUCAGGCCCGGGAGGGAGCAGCGGUAAGUAGGAUAUUCCGGGUGCCGCAGGGGUGCCUGAUUGGAGCUACCGGCGGGGGUAACGCCCAGGAGGGAAGGUCAAGGGUGGGUUGCACGG